CAACAGGAUGUGUUCGCACUGCUUGUUCCCAGCUUGUUGACAAGUUGUUAACGGCUUGUUCACAACUUGCUACAAGGUUGUUGAGCUCAACAGACUUGCUACAAGUUGUUCCAACAACUUGUUAUCGUCCUGCAAUUCAACAAUUUGUCAACAAGUUGUGAGUGACAACCUUGUAGCAACUUGAUAAAAUAACAGCAUUGUUACAACUUGUUCACAAACUUGCUACGUGUGUACACACGUAAAAACGCACAAGUUGUAACAAACUUGCUGCAGACUUGUAGCAAUGCUGUUCCAACAACUUGUCAACGGGAUGUGUUCGCACUGCUUGUUCCCAGCUUGUCGACAAGUUGUCAACAGCUUG